GGGUUGUGAGGUUAAGCGACUAAGCGUACACGGUGGAUGCCCUGGCAGUCAGAGGCGAUGAAGGACGUGCUAAUCUGCGAUAAGCGUCGGUAAGGUGAUAUGAACCGUUAUAACCGGCGAUUUCCGAAUGGGGAAACCCAGUGUGUUUCGACACACUAUCAUUAACUGAAUCCAUAGGUUAAUGAGGCGAACCGGGGGAACUGAAACAUCUAAGUACCCCGAGGAAAAGAAAUCAACCGAGAUUCUCCCAGUAGCGGCGAGCGAACGGGGAGCAGCCCAGAGCCUGAAUCAGUGUGUGUGUUAGUGGAAGCGUCUGGAAAGGCGCGCGAUACAGGGUGACAGCCCCGUACACAAAAAUGCACAUGCUGUGAGCUCGAUGAGUAGGGCGGGACACGUGGUAUCCUGUCUGAAUAUGGGGGGACCAUCCUCCAAGGCUAAAUACUCCUGACUGACCGAUAGUGAACCAGUACCGUGAGGGAAAGGCGAAAAGAACCCCGGCGAGGGGAGUGAAAAAGAACCUGAAACCGUGUACGUACAAGCAGUGGGAGCACGCUUAGGCGUGUGACUGCGUACCUUUUGUAUAAUGGGUCAGCGACUUAUAUUCUGUAGCAAGGUUAACCGAAUAGGGGAGCCGAAGGGAAACCGAGUCUUAACUGGGCGUUAAGUUGCAGGGUAUAGACCCGAAACCCGGUGAUCUAGCCAUGGGCAGGUUGAAGGUUGGGUAACACUAACUGGAGGACCGAACCGACUAAUGUUGAAAAAUUAGCGGAUGACUUGUGGCUGGGGGUGAAAGGCCAAUCAAACCGGGAGAUAGCUGGUUCUCCCCGAAAGCUAUUUAGGUAGCGCCUCGUGAAUUCAUCUCCGGGGGUAGAGCACUGUUUCGGCAAGGGGGUCAUCCCGACUUACCAACCCGAUGCAAACUGCGAAUACCGGAGAAUGUUAUCACGGGAGACACACGGCGGGUGCUAACGUCCGUCGUGAAGAGGGAAACAACCCAGACCGCCAGCUAAGGUCCCAAAGUCAUGGUUAAGUGGGAAACGAUGUGGGAAGGCCCAGACAGCCAGGAUGUUGGCUUAGAAGCAGCCAUCAUUUAAAGAAAGCGUAAUAGCUCACUGGUCGAGUCGGCCUGCGCGGAAGAUGUAACGGGGCUAAACCAUGCACCGAAGCUGCGGCAGCGACACUAUGUGUUGUUGGGUAGGGGAGCGUUCUGUAAGCCUGUGAAGGUGUGCUGUGAGGCAUGCUGGAGGUAUCAGAAGUGCGAAUGCUGACAUAAGUAACGAUAAAGCGGGUGAAAAGCCCGCUCGCCGGAAGACCAAGGGUUCCUGUCCAACGUUAAUCGGGGCAGGGUGAGUCGACCCCUAAGGCGAGGCCGAAAGGCGUAGUCGAUGGGAAACAGGUUAAUAUUCCUGUACUUGGUGUUACUGCGAAGGGGGGACGGAGAAGGCUAUGUUGGCCGGGCGACGGUUGUCCCGGUUUAAGCGUGUAGGCUGGUUUUCCAGGCAAAUCCGGAAAAUCAAGGCUGAGGCGUGAUGACGAGGCACUACGGUGCUGAAGCAACAAAUGCCCUGCUUCCAGGAAAAGCCUCUAAGCAUCAGGUAACAUCAAAUCGUACCCCAAACCGACACAGGUGGUCAGGUAGAGAAUACCAAGGCGCUUGAGAGAACUCGGGUGAAGGAACUAGGCAAAAUGGUGCCGUAACUUCGGGAGAAGGCACGCUGAUAUGUAGGUGAAGUCCCUCGCGGAUGGAGCUGAAAUCAGUCGAAGAUACCAGCUGGCUGCAACUGUUUAUUAAAAACACAGCACUGUGCAAACACGAAAGUGGACGUAUACGGUGUGACGCCUGCCCGGUGCCGGAAGGUUAAUUGAUGGGGUUAGCCGCAAGGCGAAGCUCUUGAUCGAAGCCCCGGUAAACGGCGGCCGUAACUAUAACGGUCCUAAGGUAGCGAAAUUCCUUGUCGGGUAAGUUCCGACCUGCACGAAUGGCGUAAUGAUGGCCAGGCUGUCUCCACCCGAGACUCAGUGAAAUUGAACUCGCUGUGAAGAUGCAGUGUACCCGCGGCAAGACGGAAAGACCCCGUGAACCUUUACUAUAGCUUGACACUGAACAUUGAGCCUUGAUGUGUAGGAUAGGUGGGAGGCUUAGAAGUGUGGACGCCAGUCUGCAUGGAGCCGACCUUGAAAUACCACCCUUUAAUGUUUGAUGUUCUAACGUUGACCCGUAAUCCGGGUUGCGGACAGUGUCUGGUGGGUAGUUUGACUGGGGCGGUCUCCUCCUAAAGAGUAACGGAGGAGCACGAAGGUUGGCUAAUCCUGGUCGGACAUCAGGAGGUUAGUGCAAUGGCAUAAGCCAGCUUGACUGCGAGCGUGACGGCGCGAGCAGGUGCGAAAGCAGGUCAUAGUGAUCCGGUGGUUCUGAAUGGAAGGGCCAUCGCUCAACGGAUAAAAGGUACUCCGGGGAUAACAGGCUGAUACCGCCCAAGAGUUCAUAUCGACGGCGGUGUUUGGCACCUCGAUGUCGGCUCAUCACAUCCUGGGGCUGAAGUAGGUCCCAAGGGUAUGGCUGUUCGCCAUUUAAAGUGGUACGCGAGCUGGGUUUAGAACGUCGUGAGACAGUUCGGUCCCUAUCUGCCGUGGGCGCUGGAGAACUGAGGGGGGCUGCUCCUAGUACGAGAGGACCGGAGUGGACGCAUCACUGGUGUUCGGGUUGUCAUGCCAAUGGCACUGCCCGGUAGCUAAAUGCGGAAGAGAUAAGUGCUGAAAGCAUCUAAGCACGAAACUUGCCCCGAGAUGAGUUCUCCCUGACUCCUUGAGAGUCCUGAAGGAACGUUGAAGACGACGACGUUGAUAGGCCGGGUGUGUAAGCGCAGCGAUGCGUUGAGCUAACCGGUACUAAUGAACCGUGAGGCUUAACCUUACAACGCCGAAGGUGUUU
rnacentral:rRNA from 1 species